rnacentral:rRNA from 1 species
ACUAGGCCUAGCCCCAAUAUAACCAAAUUAAACUAAAUCUAAAUUUAAGAUAAAACAUUAACCAAACAAAGUAUAGGAGAUAGAAAUGUCGCAACUGGAGCAAUAGAGUUAGUACCGCAAGGGAAAGAUGAAAGAUUACUAAAAGUAAAAAACAGCAGAGAUUACCCCUCCUACCUUUUGCAUAAUGGACUAGCUAGAAAAUUCUUUGACAAAGAGACCUGAAGCCAAAAUCCCCGAAACCAGACGAGCUACUUAUGAACAAUUAUCAGAAUGAACUCAUCUAUGUGGCAAAAUAGUGAGAUGAUUUAUAAGUAGAGGUGAAAAGCCAAACGAGCCUGGAGAUAGCUGGUUGUCCAAAAAAAGAAUAUUAGUUCAUCCUAAAGCCCUGCCUGCAAAAACACUAAUUAUAAUGUAGACUUUAGUGAUAGUCAAUAGAGGGACAGCUCUAUUGAAAAAGGAUACAACCUGCUAAGGAGAGUAAGAACUACAAAUACACAUAGUUGGCCUAAAAGCAGCCAUCAAUUAAGAAAGCGUUAAAGCUCAACCCAUUAAACCUUAAUUAAUCCCAAAAAGCAUUAACGACCUCCCUUAUCUAAUAUUGGACUAUUCUAUUAAAAUAUAGAAGCAAUAAUGCUAGCAUGAGUAACAAGAAUUAUUUCUCCACGCGUAAGCUUAUAUCAGAACGGAUGCCCACUGAUAGUUAACGACCUAACAGUUUUACCCCACACAUAAACCCUUCCCUGUUAACCACAAUCGUUAACCCAACACAGGAACGCGACAUGGAAAGAUUAAAAGAAAAAGAAGGAACUCGGCAAACAUGAACUCCGCCUGUUUACCAAAAACAUCACCUCUAGCAUUACUAGUAUUAGAGGCACUGCCUGCCCAGUGACACUAGUUAAACGGCCGCGGUACUCUGACCGUGCAAAGGUAGCAUAAUCAUUUGUUCUUUAAUUAAGGACUUGUAUGAAUGGCAAGACGAGAGUUCAACUGUCUCCUUUUUCUAAUCAGUGAAAUUGACCCCUCCGUGAAGAGGCGGAGAUAUAAAUAUAAGACGAGAAGACCCUAUGGAGCUUUAAUUUAUUUAUCUAAAAGUCCCACUAUUUAUCCAAUAGGAACACCACCUGACUUUAUAGAUAAAAAAUUUUGGUUGGGGUGACCUCGGAGCAAAAAUCAACCUCCGAAAGAUAUCCGGCUAUGAUAUAACCCAUCUAAGCUUCAAAUCUAAUUGACCCGAUAUAUCGAUCAACGGAACAAGUUACCCUAGGGAUAACAGCGCAAUCCUAUUCAAGAGUCCAUAUCGACAAUAGGGUUUACGACCUCGAUGUUGGAUCAGGACAUCCUAAUGGUGCAGCAGCUAUUAAAGGUUCGUUUGUUCAACGAUUAAAGUCCUACGUGAUCUGAGUUCAGACCGGAGUAAUCCAGGUCGGUUUCUAUCUAUAACCAACUUCUCCUAGUACGAAAGGAUCAGAGAAGUGGAGCCUACUUCACAAAGCGCUCCAAUAUACAUUAAUGAUAUAAUCUUAAUUAAUAAACAUGGAAUAUUUUAGCUCAAGACCAGAGCAC